UACGGAGGAUCCAAGCGUUAUCCGGAUUUAUUGGGUUUAAAGGGUGCGUAGGCGGCUUUUUAAGUCAGGGGUGAAAGACAGUAGCUCAACUAUCGCAGUGCCCUUGAUACUGAUGGGCUUGAAUGAACUAGAGGUAGGCGGAAUGUGACAAGUAGCGGUGAAAUGCAUAGAUAUGUCACAGAACACCAAUUGCGAAGGCAGCUUACUAUGGUUUUAUUGACACUGAGGCACGAAAGCGUGGGGAUCAAACAGG
rnacentral:rRNA from 1 species